UUACGGAUUCAUUAUCCACCAAGUUUAGCCUCUGAUGAUUUCUUGGUAAUCAAAUAAUGAAGAUUAUAAUGUUGCGAUGGGAAAUCCCGAGUACAACAAGAGCAAGUCUCAAUAUCAUCAAGAUAUUGCAGCACUAUUAUCACUCGGCAAUGGAUUCCACAAAAAGUUGAUAGGUAGAUAAUGUGUGUGUUACUAGAACAUUACAGCAUAAAAUGAAACGUAAGUGUUCAUAACAUUCAUCUUAAAUAACCAAUCAACCCCAACUGUUCUACCCUACACUUUAUGAUGAGUUUUUGGAUAAUUUCUUUUCUAGAAGAUCAUUUUCCCUCCUGAUAGUAUCAAGAUCUGCUUUCAUCUUGUCAAUAUCAACACUUCGAGACACCAUAGUUGCAAGUUUGCCUUCAUAAUCAGUUUGGGUGUUUUUUUUUUUUUUGUUCCAACAAACCUUUAGUGCAAUAUCCUAUGAUGUGUUACAAUAUCUGGCAAGGUUUUUUGCUAGUACAAAAAGCAUGGAGUAUGUAUUAGGGGCACGUUACGGAUUCAUUAUCCACCAAGUUUAGCCUCUGAUGAUUUCUUGGUAAUCAAAUAAUGAAGAUUAUAAUGUUGCGAUGGGAAAUCCCGAGUACAACAAGAGCAAGUCUCAAUAUCAUCAAGAUAUUGCAGCACUAUUAUCACUCGGCAAUGGAUUCCACAAAAAGUUGAUAGGUAGAUAAUGUGUGUGUUACUAGAACAUUACAGCAUAAAAUGAAACGUAAGUGUUCAUAACAUUCAUCUUAAAUAACCAAUCAACCCCAACUGUUCUACCCUACAC
rnacentral:lncRNA from 1 species